AGAGAAGCUUGCUUCUCUUGAGAGCGGCGGACGGGUGAGUAAUACCUAGGAAUCUGCCUGGUAGUGGGGGAUAACGUUCGGAAACGGACGCUAAUACCGCAUACGUCCUACGGGAGAAAGCAGGGGACCUUCGGGCCUUGCGCUAUCAGAUGAGCCUAGGUCGGAUUAGCUAGUUGGUGAGGUAAUGGCUCACCAAGGCUACGAUCCGUAACUGGUCUGAGAGGAUGAUCAGUCACACUGGAACUGAGACACGGUCCAGACUCCUACGGGAGGCAGCAGUGGGGAAUAUUGGACAAUGGGCGAAAGCCUGAUCCAGCCAUGCCGCGUGUGUGAAGAAGGUCUUCGGAUUGUAAAGCACUUUAAGUUGGGAGGAAGGGCAUUAACCUAAUACGUUAGUGUUUUGACGUUACCGACAGAAUAAGCACCGGCUAACUCUGUGCCAGCAGCCGCGGUAAUACAGAGGGUGCAAGCGUUAAUCGGAAUUACUGGGCGUAAAGCGCGCGUAGGUGGUUUGUUAAGUUGAAUGUGAAAUCCCCGGGCUCAACCUGGGAACUGCAUCCAAAACUGGCAAGCUAGAGUAUGGUAGAGGGUAGUGGAAUUUCCUGUGUAGCGGUGAAAUGCGUAGAUAUAGGAAGGAACACCAGUGGCGAAGGCGACUACCUGGACUGAUACUGACACUGAGGUGCGAAAGCGUGGGGAGCAAACAGGAUUAGAUACCCUGGUAGUCCACGCCGUAACGAUGUCACUAGCCGUUGGGAGUCUUGAACUCUUAGUGGCGCAGCUAACGCAUUAAGUUGACCCCUGGGGAGUACGGCGCAAGGUUAAACUCAAUGAUUGACGGGGCCGCACAGCGGUGGACAUGUGGUUAAU
rnacentral:rRNA from 1 species